CUCCACUGUUUUAGGUAUACUCAUCAUUCAAAACACACACUGCUAUCUCAAGUUACCUCUUGAGAAGAGGAUGCACAUCUCCCAUGUCAUAGCCUACUUUGCAGAGCCCUGCUCCAGUAACUGGGGGACUUGGCUUUCUAACUGUGGCCAACAGCCCCAACUAGUCGGAAUGUUUCUUGUCCCAACGUUUAAGGCAGGAAAACAUCUUUCAGCUCUCCCACUGAAGUCUUAUUAUGUUCCAAAUAGACUCAUUAAUCUGGAAGGAGAGGAGGUGAGGCAUGAGGAAGAGCCUAAAUAACAGAGAAGGCACUCUGUUAGGAGUAUAAAUGGUUUAAUGAGAUAUUACUUACAAUCUCAUUAAAAACAGCAACUGUCUCCACCUGCUUAACAAAUAAACUAAUUCUCUUCAUUUUCUGCAACCCAGUCCCUGCCAGAGAAAACACACACACACACAAAAAAAAAAAAACCACCUUAUUGAAAAGCUGAAAGUAGGAGAAGUGUUAAUAACUGGAAGUGAGACUGUAUAAUUGGAACAUUUUAGAAACACUAAUGAUGGGUUUCAGUAGGCCUAGCACCCACAGAAGAGUGACUACAUCUCAUGCUGGUAAAAUUUCCAUGGAUUUUCCCAGGAGGGCAUUGUAUCUGGCAUUCUACUCCAAUUAUUAUAUGCAAGAUGGUUUCAGAAGAGGAAAUGAAGAAUGGCAUAUUUAAAUGAAACAAUAGGGAUGGAGAUGAAUUUUUACUAAUUAGGCAAGUUUUUAUUUGGUAAGACUUUAGUGUUUGUGUACCUCACAGGAAGAAAUAGGGGAUAUGGUAGAUAGCAUAAUCAUGCCACUUGAACAUUUCUUUUUAACUGUUUCUACAUUUAUAUCUUUGAAACUUGGAAUAUAAUCAGAACAGAAAGAGAGUUACAAGUAUUCAUUGAACUGCUGCAGUGUUUCAGUACAGCAUAUGUAGGGGCACACAGUGGAAUUGAGGAAAUGUCAUGAAAACUGAAAACAGAGAAAGCAGCAUGUGGCAUAUGACACAUGCAGCAGUGAUAAUGCAAAAAGAUCAUAAGGUCCUAUUCACUUCUUCAGUUGUGGACUGGAUUGGAAACUUGACUUCUUGUAAUUAAAUCCAUAAUACGUCAUCAGCAAAAGUGCUGCUUGUUGCUAUUUUGAUCAGCUUUGCUUUGGACACUGCUUAGGACCCUAUUUUUUUGGAUGGGGUGGGGUAAAGGAAGGAGGGAGUGAUUUUGUUUGCAUAAGUAGUUACUGGAAGAACAAAGUUGAUUUGAAAUGAAAUAGUGGAAAACCUAGAAUACAGUGAUAUGAGGGCAAUACAGCACAAACAUCAGGGAAGGAAAUUACACAGUGAUAGGGAUCUGCUUACCAUGAAGUUAGUUCCUCAGUGAAACAAAGAUAAAUCAUUGUUUAGGCGCUGCUUGUUUACACCAUGCUUUGAAAAUAUGUGAUGCAGUCAAUAACGUGACGUUCACUAACUAUUGUAUCCAUUAAUACUUACUGACAUUUUGUUUCAUAUUAAAAAAUAUCU
rnacentral:lncRNA from 1 species